UUUUUUUUAUUUUUUCGCGUUUUUUUUUUCUUCCAAUUUUUUUUUGUUUUUUGUUUGGGGUCUCGUCUCAUUGGGAAAGAAUGAAAUGGAUCACGACAUAUACUUAAUAUUAUAAAAAAAAUAAGUGAACCAACAAACAAUAAAGUAACGUUAACAUGAAUAAAAAAGCGAAUAAAUAUGAAAACAAGUAAAA
rnacentral:ribozyme from 1 species